rnacentral:rRNA from 1 species
GCAACAUUGGGCCAAGUUAGUACUUGGAAGGGUGACCGCCUGGGAAACCUUGGUGUCGUAGGCC